rnacentral:misc_RNA from 1 species
GAUGAAGAACGUAGCGAAAUGCGAUACUUGGUGUGAAUUGCAGAAUCCCAUGAACCAUCGAGUCUUUGAACGCAAGUUGCGCCUCAAGCCAUUAGGUUGAGGGCACGUCUGCCUGGGCGUCACAUAUCGUUGCCUGAUGCCAGUUUCCUCGUGAUGGGUGACUGUGCAGGGCGAAUGAUGGCUUCCCGUGAGCAUUGUUGCCUCAUGGUUGGUUGAAAAUUGAGUCCUUGGUAGGGAGCGCCGUGAUAGAUGGUGGUUGAGUGACGAACGAGACCCAAUCAAGUGAGACCCCUACCGAAUUUGGCCUUCAUGACCCACAUGCGUCUUUGGAACGCUCAUGACGAGACCUCAGGUCAGGCGGGGCUACCCGCUGAGUUUAAGCAUAUCAAUAAGCGGAGGA